CCUACGGGAGGCAGCAGUGAGGAAUAUUGGUCAAUGGACGAGAGUCUGAACCAGCCAAGUAGCGUGAAGGAUGACUGCCCUACGGGUUGUAAACCUCUUUUGUAAGGGAACAAAACGAGUCACGUGUGACUCAUUGCAAGUACCCUAUGAAUAAGGAUCGGCUAACUCCGUGCCAGCAGCCGCGGUAAUACGGAGGAUGCGAGCGUUAUCCGGAUUUAUUGGGUUUAAAGGGUGCGAAGUCGGGGUUGAAAGUCAGUGGGAAAAUUGCGGGGCUCAACCUCGUAUUGCCAUUGAGACUGGCAGCCUUGAGUGCGCGAGAAGUAGGCGGAAUGCGUGGUGUAGCGGUGAAAUGCAUAGAUAUCACGAAGAACUCCGAUUGCGAAGGCAGCAUACCGGCGUGCAACUGACGCUGAUGCACGAAAGUGUGGGUAUCGAACAGGAUUAGAUACCCGAGUAGUC
rnacentral:rRNA from 1 species